CUGGAGGACGUUGCUGGUGCUCGUCGCUGCCCAGAUCGCCAGCGCAGCCGUAAUCGUAGCUGCAGCAUAGCUGCCCGUCCUACGGAGAGAUCGAUCAAGAAAAAUUAUGAAACAUGCGACGUGCUCGCGAUUCACCCGUGGAAUUAAAUUUUCUUACUGCCGGUACCAUCGUCGAUCUAUGCCACUUGUCGUGAAAAUAAUUAUUCCAACCCCGUAACGUACGAAUAUAAUUAAUCUUUGAUCAAUAUCUUAUGAUUACGAAUUAAAAAUGAAUCCACGUGGCAUAGACGACUGGGGAAUGCAAUUGAACGCAAGAGAAUGAAAAAAUGAAGCCUGACCAAGACGACCAGCGUGCGGUGAUUUUAUUUAGAGACCCUCUCUACGUACGAACGAACGAACCAGGGUGACAUAAAUUACUCUCUCUAAUCGAGUUAAAUCUAAACGUUUACAAACACAGAGUCGAGACGAAGGGCAAGAAAGCGAGAGAAAGAAAAUGAGUACCAAAGUGCUAAUCAGAAAAAGCAGGCAGGACAGAUGCACUCGAGCUCGUGGACGGUAAUUAAAAGAAACGCUAACAAUUAAUCGACAGACAUCGUUAAUCAAAGAAAUGAAUAAAAAAUGAAAGAAGUAAGAGGCGGGUAGAGAAGAUUAUAGGUGAGGUAGAAGUGACGUGAUUACCGAUGCACACAACACGCGCUAUUGCUCACCAAUUGGGCGCAGUACGGCACCUGCAAGGAUACCCAUCGUUAGGCUAAUUAGGUUAGUUGUCACGGACGGAUAUGUGUGCGUUGCACGCAUGUAUAUGUGUUAUGACAUAAUUAAUGACGGGAUUGUCGAGAGACUUCACAGUUACACAACAUUCGUUUUCGCUGUUUAAGAGUCAAUCUCAUCCCUUCUCGUCGAUUCAUUUCGCAUGUUCUAAGAUCAUUUUCUGGUUCAGAAGAUUCGACGGAAACGAAUCGACGAGGUCGAGAUCGUUAGUCGAAACCACUCUCAAUUAAUCGUUGCCAGUCGGGGUUACUGAACACGAUCCAUGCAGGGCCGACCCGAAGUUCUCGCAAAAAUCGGAUGGGAAUUGGUCUCGAUGAGCGCCGAAAAUUUAUCAACCGCGGCAGUGUUCAAUCUAUUAAAUUAUCAAUGAAGAUUAUAAAUAUCCUCGGCGAAACGAUAUAAAGUGACGUCGUCGCCGAUUGCAAGGGGAUGUCCCGAUCGUUUCCACCGAUUCGUAGUAAGCGAGGGGAAAAAACGAAAUAAAAUAGAAUCAACAACUGUCACUACUAAAAUAAUUACAGUAUAGCUAAUGUAAUGUAACAACGAGUUAUUUCUCUACGUUUACGUAUAGUACGUGAAUUACUUUGAUCGUCGGCAUGCAGUAAAAUAUAUUAAGUACAGAUACGUAUAUACGGUGCCCAAUUAGGAAUCUCGUAUCUCUUACCGAUGGUGUAUAUAAGACUAUGGAACAAUAAUUAGAAUAAUAAUGAACACUGCCGCGUGCGAGGCAGCCAACGAAAAUAAUUACAUAUAGAAUAAUAAUAAUGAUCUAUUAGGCCAACUUAGGGGCGCCCCUGAACGUGUCUCGUACGCUGGUACUGCCAGAGUAGACAGAUACAAAUUAUUGAAGUAAUUUACAAGUGAUGAAUACAGCCUCGGAUAAUUCGCAUUAACCACAAGACUAGCACGACGCAAUGAUAGCUUACGCCGAGAGAAUUUCGUAAACAUCUGACACGGUCCACUGCCAGAUUGGAAAAUUCAGUUAAAAUUCGAACAGAAUUUCAGGCUAAUUCCGUGAUAAAAAUUGAUUACUGCGUCUUAAUGAAUAUUCUCUCGGCGUAAGGAAGACGAGAAUUUUAGCGAUAGCCUUGCAAGAUCGCGAUGUACGAACCGCAAAAAAUAAAUGGCAUACUGGAAAUAAA